GUUAUAGUAGCUUAAAAUAAAAGCACUGGUCUUGUAAACCAGAGACUGAAAGCUAAACCCCUUCCUAAAACA
rnacentral:tRNA from 1 species